AUGGUAAAUCAAAACCAAAAGAACAAACAACUUGUGCUUUUUCAAAACAAAAACAAAAAAGCACAACACCCCGUAAAUUUCACUACCUAUAAAAACCAUACCCAUAACCAUAACCAUAACAACCAUAACUUCAUUUCUCGAUCUUCUAACAACUCAAUCUUGUUCUCACAGAAUUUUGUUGAUUUGAAUAAAGAUGUCUGGGCGUGGAAAGGGAGGAAAAGGAUUGGGAAAGGGAGGAGCAAAACGACACCCGAUUCAACUUGUCAUCAUGGGCUCCUAAGAUACCAUGAAACACGGGGAUGUUUGCAAGGUAGAUAUAAGCUGAACAUUGAGUCUCCUUGCCUGCGAGGAGCAUCUAAAAUGGGGACGGAUAAUCAUUGA